GCGGGGUAGGUGUCUGCUUUGCUCCUCAUGGCCACUUUCAGCCCAUUGUUCCUCCCUGACCCUUCCCCAGCAGCUCUGAAGGACAGGCCAUCCAUUCUCCAUAAACCUCCCAUGCUGGGUCAGCCACUGACAAGCAGUCAGUCCUCCAGUGCAGCCCAGGACCCUGCUGGCUCACGUCCCGGCUUUUCACCUCUCCUGUCCUCACUCUUGCUGGUUGGCCUGAUUAGAUCGGUCAGUCCCAGCCCUGGCUGCACUUUAAAAUUAUUUGGGGUGGGGCACCUGGGUGGCUCAGUCAGUUAAGCCUCUGACUUCGGCUCGGGUCAUGAUCUCAUGGCUCGUGAGUUGGAGCCCUGGGUCAGGCUCUGUGCAGACAGCUCGGUCUGGAGCCUGUGUCAGAUUCUGUGUCUCCCUCUCUCUCUGCCUCUCACCCGCUUGUGUUCUGUCUGUCUUUCUCUCUCAAAAAUAAAUAAACAUUUUAAAAACUAAAAUUAUUUGGGAAACUUUUAUGUUUAAACGUUUAUUUAGAGAGAGAAAGAGAGUGCACAAGUGGGGGAGGGACAGAGAGAUAGAGGGAGAGAGAGAAUCCUUAGCAGGCUCUGUACCACCAGGGAAGAGCCUCUGACACGGGGCUCAAACUCACAGACCAUGAGAUCAUGGCCCGAGCUGAAAUCAAGAGUAGGAUACCCAGCCAACUGAGCCACCCAGGUGCCCCUGGGAAACUUAAAAAGCUCAGGCACUUCUAACCCUUCCCCACCCUCCCAACCCAUGGAGCCUGAAUGAGAGGAUUGGAGGCUUGUGUAUGUUUCAAUAGCUCCCCAGGUCGUUCUCCCACCCCAGCCGACUAGCCUAACAGUAACGCUGUGUUCCUCACGAUUAACACUUGUACUAAUACUUGUCGAUUUCUGGCACCCCUCUGUGGCCACUACCUUCUCACUUCCGGCUCACUCCCGCCGGAACCCCACUCCAGCCGUUGUUUGGUUUCACUAGGUCCAACAGGCCAUCAUCCCUGUACCUUGUCACUGUCCAUCACGGCCCUCAAGGGCCUUGCCUUCCACCUCACUCACCUGAGUCCAUGGAGCAGGCUCCCUUGCCCCUCUCCCCUCUCCUGCCUCUGCCCGGUGAGUCCCCAGAUCUGACAACACUCUCUACUCACCUGCUCAUGUCUGCAUCCAAGCACCAAACCUCCAAAAGCGGCUGGAUAAAAAUACACAGCAGGCUUCCUGGUCUUAAUUUUAUGCACUCAGAGCUCAAGUGGACUCUCAGUGCUGCCCGGCAGCCCUGCCCUCAUUUCCCUAGUUAAUUCGCUUCCCUGUUUUUAAGAGGCUCUUUUGCACCUUCUGUCUCCAAACCAGCUCCCUCCAGUAUCCAGCCUUCUCACUCUUUCUUUAGGCUGACCUUGUUCCUGUCUCAAGACAUUGGCACUUACAGUUCACUGUGCCUUCCACACUUUUCCCCGGAUCUUUCCAUAGAACACCCCUCCCUGGAUUUAUCUUAGCUUCUCAGGGAGUAUUCCCUGACUCAUCUACCUAAAAUAUGCCUCCCACCUCCACCCUGACGCUCCAUUCUCUGAUUCCUUCUUAUUUUCUUUACAGCACUUACCACAGUCUGAUAUUAAAUGAUGGAUUUAUUUUUGUUUGCUUAUCUGUCUCCCCCACAAGCACGCAGGCUUUAUGAAGGCAGUUCCCUUCUGGUCUGCCUAGUUCGCAUCUGAAUCCCCAACACCAGGUACAGUGCCUGGUGCACAGUCAGCUGACAGUGAACGUAUGAGUGAAUGAAUGCAUGAAUGAAUGAACAAAGGGAUAGGUCUGUGUUGCAUUUUUUUUUUUAAUGUUUUAUGUUUUGUGAGAGAGCAAGAGAGAGCAUGAGUGGGGGAGAGGCAGAGAGAGAUGAGACAAAGGAUCCAAAGCUGGCUCUGUGCUGAGAUCAGUGAGCCCAAUGUGGGACUCGAACUCGUGAACUAUGAGAUCAUGACCUGAGCCGAAGUCAGACACUCAACCAACUGAGCCAUACAAGUGUCUGAUUUGACUCUUGCUAGCCGUGAGGUUUAAAGUGCAUUACUCACUCUCUCUGAGCUUUGGUUUGCUUAUUUGUAAAGAGGAGAGGAUCUUCUUGGUUGGUGAACAUGUAGAGAUACAAGGAGAGUGGCAUACAGGGAGAGGGCAUGGAAUAAUAAUAAUAAUAAUAAUAAUAAUAAUAAAUAUCAUUAGGGUGCAGGUAUAAACCAUGGCCUGAAGCACUCUUCUAAGUGCUUUACCUGUAAUGAUUCAAUUACAGUUGACUCUUGAACAUGAGUUUGAACUGCAUGAGUUCACUUGUAUGUGGAUUUUUAGAUAAAUACAGUACAGUACUAUAAAUGUAUUUUCCUUAUGAGUUUCUUUUUCUCGCUUACUUUAUUGUAAGAGUACAGUAUACAAUACAUAUACCAUACAGAGUACAUGUUAAUUGACUAUGCUAUCAGUAAGGUUUCUGGUCAAUGGUAGGCUAUUAGUAGUUAAGUAUUUUGGGGGAGUCCAAAGUUACACAGGGAUUUUUGACUACACGGGGGGCUGGGGAGUGGUUGCUGCAACCCCCAUCCAUGUUCUUCAAAGUCCUACUGUACUCUUCACGACAAUCCUGGAGGUAGUUACUAUUAACUCUGUUUUACAGGUAUAGAAACUGAAGUCGAGGGAAGGGAGAUUCAGUGAUUUAUCUGACAUCAAUGGAUCCAGAGAAUGGCCAAGCCAGGACCCCAGCCUGGUGGUGUGGUUCCAGAGCCCACACACAUAACCAUUGUGAUAUACCACCUCUGCUCAGUCUUUUUGGGGAAUUCAAGAUGCUUUUCCAUCACUUGACUCAGUCUUCUGGUGGGUCAACAUGAGAAUUUUGGUCUGCUGUUUGUAAGUAAUUUAGUUGAAGGUGUGGAGCUUGUAAUUCUUUCAAGGAGAAACAUUUGUACUUGUUUUUGGCCAUGAAUUUUGGCUCAGCAAACUGAGCCAAUACCUCCAAUCUGCUGAUGAUAUUUGAAUGAAUGUGCCUGUGAGAGCCAGAAGGUCUGUAUUCGGGAGCCUAACAAUCUUUGCAUUUUCCACUUUUUAUUAGUUGUUUAGUUACAUACAGGUAAGUCUAGAACUUCCCCAAUUUCUCCAAGAUGUCUGAGCUAAGCAAAAUGCAGGUUUAUGAAUAUAUGGAUGUAUGCUUUUUGCGCAUUUUCCAAACAUGUCUUUUUUAAGUAAGGGAAAAUGAGACUACAAGAUUGUCUUCAGAUCAGGGUCGUGAGUCCCAUGUCAGUUAAGGCCCAAUAUUGUCAAUAACAGCCUGAAUAGUAUAAGUAUUCUCAAGUAAGAAGGCUUAUAUUUUGAAUAUUUUCUUCCAUCACUUUUACCAUGGUAAUUUUUCAAAAUUACCAUAUUUGCCUCUUCCUCUCCUGAUCUGUUAUAACAUUUAUUACUGGCAUUCCGCAUUUGGCAUUUAUUUACAUUCUGCUUUUUGUGGACGUUUAUAUGUAUCCUUCAUUUUGUCUAGUUGAGUGAUUACUAUCAAGAUGAAAGAGAGUAAACUAAUCAUCAGGCAAGAUAGCAAAUGCAGUUCAUAUUUAACUAUUCUUUGCAUAAAUCUAAGGAGGUGAUCUUUGCAUACAAAGCAAGAACAUAAUUAGGAGUGUCUUCUCCAGUUAUUACAAGUCAAUUAGGCAGGAUCUAUCCUUUUUUAAAAUCUUUUUUUAAUGUUUAUUUAUUUUGGAAAGAGAGAGAGACAGAGAGAGAGACAGAGUGUGAGCAGGGGAGGGGUAGAGUGAGAAUGGGAGACACAUAAUCUGAAGCAGGCUCCAGACAUGGGGCUUGAACUCAUGAAUCUGAGCCAAAGUCAGACGCUUAACCAACUGAGCCACCCAGGCAGGAUCUAUUCUUAAUAUUUACAGCACAAUGUUGUGGGAUGGUCUCUGAGAGCCAAAGCCCUAAAUUCUACCUGUAUGUCUUUGGGCAAGUUUUUUUAACCUCUCCAAAUCUCUGUUUCUAUCUAAAAUGAUGGGUUGAAUUAAAAAUCCUUUUAGAAUUAAAAAAUUUUGGACUUUACUUUGGAUUGUUUUUGUAGUUUUUCAACUAAAAGAACAACACUUCUUUUUAAAAAGUUGUUUUUAGGGGCGCCUGGGUGGCGCAGUCGGUUAAGCGUCCGACUUCAGCCAGGUCACGAUCUCGCGGUCCGUGAGUUCGAGCCCCGCGUCUGGCUCUGGGCUGAUGGCUCAGAGCCUGGAGCCUGUUUCCGAUUCUGUGUCUCCCUCUCUCUCUGCCCCUCCCCCGUUCAUGCUCUGUCUCUCUCUGUCCCAAAAAUAAAUAAACGUUGAAAAAAAAAAAUUUAAAAAGUUGUUUUUAAGACAGUUCUGUAAUUCAGAAAUUUUACCUAAUCAGUCCUUUUCCUCAUUUAAGUUUAAAAUCAGGACCUUCCCCACUUCCAGGGUAAUGAAUAAACACAUACAAUAUAUGCCUUCUGAUUAAUACACAUAUCUGCUUGAUACACAGCCCUUAUGGUGAUGGGACGUCGUGAAUUUUUUAUGAUUGCCCCAGUUCAAAAAAACUUCCAUCUUGUUGUUUACAUAAUUAAGAUAAGUUAACGUCCAAGUGUAUUCAUCUAUCUCACUUCAUUUCAAUUCAGAAAAUGUGGUCAGGGAAUACACAGUGACCUUUCCUGUGUUUUAAUUAUGUAGAUUGUGUUGGUUACUGGGUCACUGAUCAAUGAGAGCUAAUUUCCCAAUUUUAGGCUCUGUUGCUGGAGUGUAGGGAUUGGUUGGUGGCUUCCAACUUCUCUCUUUUCCCCGAUUGGCAUUUCCCCAAGUGAUCUGUGGUCACCCUCAGGCGCCAUCUGAGACACGAUGGAUUACUGCCCUCUUGGCAACAUUGCUGUGGGGUCUUUCCUCUGCACAUCACAGAAGGGUGAAGAAGUGACCCGCCUCUGACGCCAACCUCAAGGACAGGAGGGCUGUGUGAGGUCUGGGCUCGAAAAGUGUUUUACAUUUCUCUUUGGCAUGGCUUGUCUGUUCCACAUAAGCCCGAGAACAUCUUUAGAAUUCUGAAGUGUUUUGGGAACACACAGAGGAAAAAAUAAAAUCUGUUUAAGAUUCAGCACAGGGGUUCAGAAGCAUAACAGUCCAGGCAAGUCACCACUUGUCAAUAAUUUUUACAUAAUAGAAAGAGCUUUAUUGUUUCUUUUUGUUACAUAAAUAAAAAUGUUUCCUUGAAAAAAGUUGAAGCAUACAUAAAAUGAUGGAGAAUAAAAAUCAAAGUCAGAUGGCAUCCCAGCACCUGGAGACAUCUAAUGAACACUUCCGUAAACUUAACAUGUGCUUCUCUUUAAGCACACACACCAUUCGCAUACAGAUAAUUUUAUAGGAAUGGGAUGUAACAAAUGCUGUUUAUUGUGAAGGCUUGCAAAAAGUUACUUGCGCCCUCAUCCAUUGCCCAUGCAAAUUCUCUCCCUCAAGCAAAGGAAAUGUUUUAACUGCCCGGUAUGUGUCUUUUAUAUACUUUUAUCUAUGCAGAUACGCAAAUACUCCUAUAAUUAUUUAUAUAUAUAUAUAUAUAUACAUACAUAUAUAUAUACACAUAUAUAUAUACAUAUAUAUAUAUACAUAUAUAUAUACAUAUAUAUAUGAGGUCCCGGGAAGGGAGCUUCAGUGAUAGCAUAUGGGAUAAUAUCAUCUCAAAGAUGUCAUAACAACCCGAAAUGGGAUAAUAUAUACUUUUUUUUUGCUUGGUUAAAAUGCCAUAGAAACCCUCCAAGUCAACUGCUGUAUCUCUAACUUAUUUGUUACGAGAUAUCCUAAUAGACCAUGACAUAAGUGUUUCAUAAUAUAUUCAACCAUUUCCCUAUUGAUGAGCAUUCACUUUUUCAUUUUUUUGAAAUGAAAUUCACUUCACUCCAAGCUCAUGAUGUUUAAACGAACUAGACUCUAUAAUACUGAUUCAAAGUCUCUAAAUUUUACUUUUUCAGUUUGUAAUCCUGAUUUUUUUUUGUCAGUGAUGAACUCGCUUUCACGAGUGUUUAGAAAGUCAGCCUAAUAUUUAGACGCGCGAAGGAGGACGUGCACUUUCUUUCUCGGAUUUCAGGUAGUGGCGUCUUUUACGAAGACCUUCUCAAUAUGGUGGU
rnacentral:lncRNA from 1 species